AUGCACGCUGGCGGCGUGCUUAGCACAUGCAAGUCGAACGGAAAGGCUCCUGCUUGCAGGGGUACUCGAGUGGCGAACGGGUGAGUAACACGUGGGUGAUCUGCCCUGCGCUUCGGGAUAAGCCUGGGAAACUGGGUCUAAUACCGGAUAGGACGAUGGUUUGGAUGCCAUUGUGGAAAGUUUUUCGGUGUGGGAUGAGCUCGCGGCCUAUCAGCUUGUUGGUGUGGUAAUGGCCUACCAAGGCGUCGACGGGUAGCCGGCCUGAGAGGGUGUACGGCCACAUUGGGACUGAGAUACGGCCCAGACUCCUACGGGAGGCAGCAGUGGGGAAUAUUGCACAAUGGGCGCAAGCCUGAUGCAGCGACGCCGCGUGGGGGAUGACGGCCUUCGGGUUGUAAACUCCUUUCGCUAGGGACGAAGCGCAAGUGACGGUACCUGGAGAAGAAGCACCGGCUAACUACGUG
rnacentral:rRNA from 1 species